UACGUAGGGGGCAAGCGUUGUCCGGAUUUAUUGGGCGUAAAGAGCGUGUAGGCGGCCGCACAGGUCCGUUGUGAAAACUGGAGGCUUAACCUUCAGACGUCGAUGGAAACCGUGCGGCUAGAGUCCGGAAGAGGAGAAUGGAAUUCCUGGUGUAGCGGUGAAAUGCGCAGAUAUCAGGAAGAACACCCGUGGCUAAGGCGGUUCUCUAGUACGGUACUGACGCUGCGACGCGAAAGCGUGGGGAGCGAACAGG
rnacentral:rRNA from 1 species